rnacentral:rRNA from 1 species
CAGCAGCCGCGGUAAUGCGAAGGGUGCAAGCGUUAAUCGGAAUUACUGGGCGUAAAGCGUGCGUAGGCGGUUUGUUAAGUCUGUUGUGAAAUCCCCGGGCUCAACCUGGGAAUGGCAAUGGAUACUGGCAAGCUAGAGUGUGUCAGAGGAUGGUGGAAUUCCCGGUGUAGCGGUGAAAUGCGUAGAGAUCGGGAGGAACAUCAGUGGCGAAGGCGGCCAUCUGGGACAACACUGACGCUGAGGCACGAAAGCGUGGGGAGCAAACAGGAUUAGAUACCCCCGUAGUCCCUGUCUCUUAUAA